UUUGUUGGCAAUGGGAGUGAAGAAAAGAAAUCUCUCCAAGGAAAGCACUCCAUGUGAAGCCGUGAAGAAGCCAAAGGAAAAUAGUGUUGGGAAAAACCGCAAGGUGGGUUGAUCCUCUUAAGGCCUGAUCGUUGUGGCCCACUCCGGUUUGCAAUAGCUGGAGCAUUUCUUAAUAAAUUAUACAAAGACUAUCUUGGUAUUAUUAGGAGUAAUUAUGGUGGGAAUCGUGGUUCUCAAUCAUUUUUCAUGAAGUGCUGUUUGUUAAUAAUGUGGGUUUGAAGCUCAUCAUGUUGUGUGCAUGAUAUCCAAUUUGUCCAUCACAUUUGCCACUACGUUUUCUUCUUAUAUCCCAAAACUCAGGCCCAUUCAAGACUUAAAAUUCAACUACAUUAAUCAUUUUGGUGGUUUAAUCCAAACUGUCUAAAAUUUAUUUCUUGA